CCUACGGGUGGCAGCAGUGAGGAAUAUUGGUCAAUGGGCGCGAGCCUGAACCAGCCAGGUAGCGUGAAGGAUGACGGCCCUAAGGGUUGUAAACUUCUUUUAUAAAGGAAUAAAGUGAGGCACGUGUGCCUUUUUGUAUGUACUUUAUGAAUAAGGAUCGGCUAACUCCGUGCCAGCAGCCGCGGUAAUACGGAGGAUCCGAGCGUUAUCCGGAUUUAUUGGGUUUAAAGGGAGCGUAGGUGGGGUGUUAAGUCAGUUGUGAAAGUUUGCGGCUCAACCGUAAAAUUGCAAUUGAUACUGGCAGCCUUGAGUACAGUAGAGGUAUGCGGAAUUCGUGGUGUAGCGGUGAAAUGCUUAGAUAUCACGAAGAACUCCGAUUGCGAAGGCAGCCUACUAAACGGCCACUGACGUUGAUGCUCGAAAGUGUGGGUAUCAAACAGGAUUAGAUACCCGAGUAGUC
rnacentral:rRNA from 1 species